rnacentral:rRNA from 1 species
CAUGGCUCAGGAUGAACGCUAGCGGGAGGCCUAACACAUGCAAGCCGAGCGGUAUAGAUCUUUCGGGAUCUAGAGAGCGGCGCACGGGUGCGGAACACGUGUGCAACCUACCUUUAUCAGGGGGAUAGCCUUUCGAAAGGAAGAUUAAUACCCCAUAAUAUAUUUGAUGGCAUCAUUAGAUAUUGAAAACUCCGGUGGAUAGAGAUGGGCACGCGCAAGAUUAGAUAGUUGGUGAGGUAACGGCUCACCAAGUCAAUGAUCUUUAGGGGGCCUGAGAGGGUGAUCCCCCACACUGGUACUGAGACACGGACCAGACUCCUACGGGAGGCAGCAGUGAGGAAUAUUGGACAAUGGGUGAGAGCCUGAUCCAGCCAUCCCGCGUGAAGGAUGACGGCCCUAUGGGUUGUAAACUUCUUUUGUAUAGGGAUAAACCUACCCUCGUGAGGGUAGCUGAAGGUACUAUACGAAUAAGCACCGGCUAACUCCGUGCCAGCAGCCGCGGUAAUACGGAGGGUGCAAGCGUUAUCCGGAUUUAUUGGGUUUAAAGGGUCCGUAGGCGGACUCGUAAGUCAGUGGUGAAAUCUCAUAGCUUAACUAUGAAACUGCCAUUGAUACUGCGGGUCUUGAGUAAGGUAGAGGUAGCUGGAAUAAGUAGUGUAGCGGUGAAAUGCAUAGAUAUUACUUAGAACACCAAUUGCGAAGGCAGGUUACCAUGUCUUAACUGACGCUGAUGGACGAAAGCGUGGGGAGCGAACAGGAUUAGAUACCCUGGUAGUCCACGCCGUAAACGAUGCUAACUCGUUUUUGGGUUUUCGGAUUCAGAGACUAAGCGAAAGUGAUAA